GAUGAACGCUGGCGGCGUGCCUAACACAUGCAAGUCGAGCGAACAGACGAGGAGCUUGCUCCUUUGACGUUAGCGGCGGGGGGGUGAGUAACACGUGGAUAACCCACCUAUAAUACUGGGAUAACUUCGGGAAACCGGAGCUAAUACCGGAUAAUAUAUUGAACCGCAUGGUUCAAUAGUGAAAGACGGUUUUGCUGUCACUUAUAGAUGGUUCCGCGCGGCAUUGGCUAGUUGGUAAGGUAACCGCCUACCAAGGCAACGAUGCGGAGACGACCGGAGAGGGGGAUCGGCCACACUGGAGCGGAGACACGGACCAGACUCCUACGGGAGGCAGCAGUAGGGAAUCUUCCGCAAUGGGCGAAAGCAUGACAGAGCGACGCCGCGUGAGUGAUGAAGGUCUUCGGAGCGUAAAGCUCUGUUAUGGGGGAAGAACAAAUGUGUAAGUAAAUGAAGACGUCUUGACGGUACCUAAUCAAGAAGCAACGGCUAACUACGUG
rnacentral:rRNA from 1 species